CUUUUUAAAAGUUGUAUUGCGCAUGUGUAGGAGCACAAUGCGCGGAAGGGAAGCCAAGCGUCAUAAAGCAGAACCAGAAGAAGAACAAGAACGGUUAUAACUUUGUUGGAGGGAAUUUCGAGGAAGAAGUUUUGGUUUCGUUACAUUUUGUAAAGAUGCCACCGAAGUAUAUCGCUGCUGGAUUUUUGUAUGAUGCAGAGAAACUUUUGACGGAUUUCAUCGCUGAAAAUAGUGUUGAAUUUAAGGUUUUUUCCACCGUGUGGAGAAAACAUUACUUUUCACUUAUAUAUAUGGGAAGACCAAAUGAAAGAGAACUAUCUGAAUUUACAUCAGAAAUUUUCCGUAUAUCAUUGCCAUUUCUAUACCCUGAAUUGCCAU